CACGUAGGCGGAUUUGUUAGUCAGGGGUGAAAUCCCGGGGCUCAACCUCGGAACUGCCUUUGAUACUGCAGAUCUUGAGUCCGAGAGAGGUGGGUGGAAUUCCUAGUGUAGAGGUGAAAUUCGUAGAUAUUAGGAAGAACACCGGUGGCGAAGGCGGCCCACUGGCUCGGUACUGACGCUGAGGUGCGAAAGCGUGGGGAGCAAACA
rnacentral:rRNA from 1 species